rnacentral:snoRNA from 1 species
GUAUAUGAUGAUUUACCACAUUAUCACGACGGUCUACUGUGCUUGGUGAAUUGUAAUCACCUUGCCGUGAUGAUAUAAUCGGCCUUGACCGGCCGUGGUUCCUGAAA